UACGAAGGGGGCUAGCGUUGCUCGGAAUUACUGGGCGUAAAGGGCGCGUAGGCGGGUCGUUUAGUUAGAGGUGAAAGCCCAGGGCUCAACCCUGGAAUUGCCUUUAAUACUGGCGGCCUUGAGUAUGGCAGAGGUGUGUGGAACUCCGAGUGUAGAGGUGAAAUGCGUAGAGAUCGGGAGGAACAUCUGUGGCGAAGGCGGCCAUCUGGACCAGCACUGACACUGAGGCACGAAAGCGUGGGGAGCAAACAGG
rnacentral:rRNA from 1 species